AGAGUUUGAUCCUGGCUCAGGACGAACGCUGGCGGCGUGGAUUAGGCAUGCAAGUCGAGCGGCAAGGUUCCUUCGGGAUCCCUAGAGCGGCGAACGGGUGAGUAACACGUGAACAACCUGUCCUCACGUUCCGAAUAAUUGGGAGAAAUCCCUUGUAAUGCGGGCGAGGAUUUAGAUGAGGCAUCUCAUUUAACGGGAACGCGCAAGCGGCGCGAGGAGGGGUUCGCGGUCUAUCAGCUUGUUGGUGGGGUAACGGCCUACCAAGGCGACGACGGAUAGCUGGUCUGAGAGGAUGGUCAGCCACAUUGGAACUGAGAUACUGUCCAGACUCCUACGGGANNCGGGAGGCUGCAGUCGAGAAUCUUGGGCAAUGCACGAAAGUGUGACCCAGCGACGCCGCGUGAAGGAUGAAGGCCCUCUGGGUCGUAAACUUCUUUUAUGGGGAAAGAAUAAAUGACGGUACCCCAUGAAUAAGCCACGGCUAACUACGUGCCANNNNNACUGGGCGUAAAGCGUAUGCAGGCGGAUAUUUAAGUAGGAAGUGAAAGGUUGGAGCUCAACUCCAACACUGCUUCCUAUACUGGAUGUCUUGAGUGGCGGAGAGGAAAGCGGAACAAAUCGUGUAGCGGUGAAAUGCGUAGAUAUGAUUUGGAACACCAAUGGCGAAAGCAGCUUUCUGGACGCAUACUGACGCUGAGAUACGAAAGCUAUGGUAGCGAACAGGAUUAGAUACCCUGGUAGUCAUAGCUAUAAACGAUGUUCACUAGAUGUCGGGGCUUCGCCUCGGUGUCGCAGCUAACGCAUUAAGUGAACCGCCUGGGAACUACGGCCGCAAGGUUGAAACUCAAAGGAAUUGGCGGGGGNNGCACAAGCGGUGGAGCAUAUGGCUUAAUUCGAUGCAACGCGAAGAACCUUACCAAGGUUUGACAUGGAUCUGCAAGCGGUAGAAAUAUCGUCGCCUUCGAGGGUGAUCCACAGGUGGUGCAUGGCUGUCGUCAGCUCGUGUUGUGAAAUGUUGGGUUAAGUCCCGCAACGA
rnacentral:rRNA from 1 species